rnacentral:rRNA from 1 species
AUUGAACGCUGGCGGCAGGCCUAACACAUGCAAGUCGAGCGGAUGAAGGGAGCUUGCUCCUGGAUUCAGCGGCGGACGGGUGAGUAAUGCCUAGGAAUCUGCCUGGUAGUGGGGGAUAACGUCCGGAAACGGGCGCUAAUACCGCAUACGUCCUGAGGGAGAAAGUGGGGGAUCUUCGGACCUCACGCUAUCAGAUGAGCCUAGGUCGGAUUAGCUAGUUGGUGGGGUAAAGGCCUACCAAGGCGACGAUCCGUAACUGGUCUGAGAGGAUGAUCAGUCACACUGGAACUGAGACACGGUCCGGACUCCUACGGGAGGCAGCAGUGGGGAAUAUUGGACAAUGGGCGAAAACCUGAUCCAGCCAUGCCGCGUGUGUGAAGAAGGUCUUCGGAUUGUAAAGCACUUUAAGUUGGGAGGAAGGGCAGUAAGUUAAUACCUUGCUGUUUUGACGUUACCAACAGAAUAAGCACCGGCUAACUUCGUG